rnacentral:rRNA from 1 species
GAUGAACGCUAGCGGAAGGCUUAAUACAUGCAAGUCGAGCGGUAGGUGGCUUCGGCCAUUGAGAGCGGCGCACGGGUGAGUAACGCGUACAUGACCUGCCUGUCAGAAGGGGAUAGCCCUGGGAAACUGGGAUUAAUACCCUAUGGUAUUGAUAUUAUGAAUGAUAUCAAUUAAAGUUGAGGCGCUGACAGAUGGAUGUGCGUCUGAUUAGCUAGUUGGUAGGGUAACGGCCUACCAAGGCGACGAUCAGUAGGGGGCGUGAGAGCGUGGUCCCCCACACGGGUACUGAGACACGGACCCGACUCCUACGGGAGGCAGCAGUAAGGAAUAUUGGUCAAUGCCCGCAAGGGUGAACCAGCCAUUCCGCGUGGAGGAUGAAGGCCCUAUGGGUUGUAAACUUCUUUUAGAUGGGUAAGAAAUGCUAGAUGUAUCUGGUACUGACGGUACCAUCAGAAUAAGCACCGGCUAACUCCGUGCCAGCAGCCGCGGUAAU